rnacentral:rRNA from 1 species
AGAGUUUGAUCCUGGCUCAGGAUGAACGCUGGCGGCGUGCCUAACACAUGCAAGUCGAGCGAUCUUCUUCGGAAGAGAGCGGCGGACGGGUGAGUAACGCGUGGGUAACCUGCCCUGUACACACGGAUAACAUACCGAAAGGUAUGCUAAUACGAGAUAAUAUGCUUUUAUCGCAUGGUAGGAGUAUCAAAGCUCCGGCGGUACAGGAUGGACCCGCGUCUGAUUAGCUAGUUGGUGAGGUAACGGCUCACCAAGGCGACGAUCAGUAGCCGACCUGAGAGGGUGAUCGGCCACAUUGGAACUGAGACACGGUCCAAACUCCUACGGGAGGCAGCAGUGGGGAAUAUUGCACAAUGGGCGAAAGCCUGAUGCAGCAACGCCGCGUGAGCGAUGAAGGCCUUCGGGUCGUAAAGCUCUGUCCUCAAGGAAGAUAAUGACGGUACUUGAGGAGGAAGCCCCGGCUAACUACGUGCCAGCAGCCGCGGUAAUACGUAGGGGGCUAGCGUUAUCCGGAAUUACUGGGCGUAAAGGGUGCGUAGGUGGUUUCUUAAGUCAGAGGUGAAAGGCUACGGCUCAACCGUAGUAAGCCUUUGAAACUGGGAAACUUGAGUGCAGGAGAGGAGAGUGGAAUUCCUAGUGUAGCGGUGAAAUGCGUAGAUAUUAGGAGGAACACCAGUUGCGAAGGCGGCUCUCUGGACUG